rnacentral:rRNA from 1 species
GUAGGUGGCAAGCGUUGUCCGGAAUUAUUGGGCGUAAAGCGCGCGCAGGCGGUUCUUUAAGUCUGAUGUGAAAGCCCACGGGCUCAACCGUGGAGGGUCAUUGGAAACUGGAGAACUUGAGUACAGAAGAGGAAAGCGGAAUUCCACGUGUAGCGGUGAAAUGCGUAGAGAUGUGGAGGAACACCAGUGGCGAAGGCGGCUUUCUGGUCUGUAACUGACGCUGAGGCGCGAAAGCAUGGGGAGCAAACAGGAUUAGAUACCCUGGUAGUCCACGCCGUAAACGAUGAGUGCUAAGUGUUAGGGGGGUUUCCGCCCCUUAGUGCUGCAGCUAACGCAUUAAGCACUCCGCCUGGGGAGUACGGCCGCAAGGCUG